AUUGAUCCUUAACCAUUGGACUAAGAGCAAGUAUAAUAUCUGUUCUUACCAUUUUAAUAUCUGGUACAUCUUCUAUCAGAGCAUAAUAUAUUAAAUGGAUUUUUAGAACCAGAAGAUGGAAUAGGAACUGUACCCAUCUUUCUCAUGCAUUGGCCUGGUACUUGCAGAAACAGUGCCUCCUUU
ensembl:snRNA U2 U2 spliceosomal RNA